CUACGGGUGGCUGCAGUGAGGAAUAUUGCACAAUGGGGGGAACCCUGAUGCAGCAACGCCGCGUGGAGGAUGACGCAUUUCGGUGUGUAAACUCCUUUUAUAUGUCAAGAAAAUGACGGUAGCAUAUGAAUAAGCACCGGCUAACUCCGUGCCAGCAGCCGCGGUAAUACGGAGGGUGCAAGCGUUACUCGGAAUCACUGGGCGUAAAGGACGCGUAGGCGGGUUGGAAAGUCAGGUGUGAAAUCCUACGGCUUAACUGUAGAACUGCACUUGAAACUUCUAAUCUAGAGUAUGGGAGGGGGAGAUGGAAUUAGUGGUGUAGGGGUAAAAUCCGUAGAUAUCACUAGGAAUACCUAAAGCGAAGGCGAUCUCCUGGAACAAUACUGACGCUAAGGCGUGAAAGCGUGGGGAGCAAACAGGAUUAGAUACCCUUGUAGUC
rnacentral:rRNA from 1 species